AAGGCCCGCGGCUCGCCGCCCACCGCUUCUCUUCUGAGGUGGCACCUGGUUCUCCGGCACGCGGAAGCAUCACGGAUGAGCGUCGCGAACACAAAGCGGCCAAUCACGGGCCGCCUUCGCCCAGAUCCCUCCGCACGAGGCCGCCCCCGCAGCCGCAGGUGGCCCCGGCGAGUACGUCCACCUUCCCUUCCCGUGAUGCCCCGGGGCUGACCUCCGACCUCGCUGGCCCGCCCCUCCCUUCGGCCGCUUCCCUUACCGCGCUAGCUGAGCUCCGGCGCCCGCGGAGCUCGCGCCAGGCUCCUGGGCAAGGACGGGGCGUAUUACCGGGGAGCAGCUGCUCCAUUGCGCCUCGAGGCCCCGAUCGGGCUAGGCUGGCGGCCUCCCUCCCUUCACCUUUCCUCUCCUGGCAGGGCCCGGCGGCGGGCGAGUGACUGCGGCCACGCCUGAAAGGCGACUCUUCUGAUUCAAGAUGACCAACGAAGAACCUCUUCCCAAGAAGGUUCGACUGAGUGAAACAGACUUCAAAGUUAUGGCAAGAGAUGAGUUAAUUCUAAGAUGGAAACAAUAUGAAGCAUAUGUACAAGCUUUGGAGGGCAAGUACACAGAUCUUAACUCUAAUGAUGUAACUGGCCUAAGAGAGUCUGAAGAAAAACUAAAGCAACAACAGCAGGAGUCUGCACGCAGGGAAAACAUCCUUGUAAUGCGACUAGCAACCAAGGAACAAGAGAUGCAAGAGUGUACUACUCAAAUCCAGUACCUCAAGCAAGUCCAGCAGCCGAGCGUUGCCCAACUGAGAUCAACAAUGGUAGACCCAGCGAUCAACUUGUUUUUCCUAAAAAUGAAAGGUGAACUGGAACAGACUAAAGACAAACUGGAACAAGCCCAAAAUGAACUGAGUGCCUGGAAGUUUACGCCUGAUAGAGGCCUGAUGGCGUCGGACUAUUCCGAAGAAGUGGCCACCUCCGAAAAAUUCCCCUUCUAGAACAUGUAGACACUUGAGAAAUGUUUCUGUUUGAAGAAAAUAGAGGGAGAAACAGAAGUCUUAAGUCUGUGGCACACUGUGUCUUCAGACAGUUUGAAGGAAUGAAAACCUAGAGAUUUUAAAUCAUGAAUUGAACAUGUAAAAUUCCAGUAAAAUGUAAAAAUGGAAUAUGCAUCGCUCUUAACCUUGAGCAUAGUGACUUAGAGACACUGUGUAUCAGUUUUGCCAAUAAGACUGUGGACUUCAUGAUUGUUGUUGAACUUCUGGGUCAAAACUCAAAUGAGGUGAAUUUUGCCUUUAAAGGGUUUAUUUGCUGAGAACCAACUUUUAAUAGUCACGAGAGAAUCAAAUAAUAGAUGUCCGUACAAGUAGCGCAUAUAUUUAACCAUUUAGUUUGGGGCUCUAUAUUACUUGCUUGAGCCUUAAUCAAUGUGGUUUUAUUCAAUGGUUUGUUCUUUGAAUGGUUGCAAAACUGUAGAUUAUCUUACUGAGGACUGUACAAACGUGAAGGUGUGGUAUCAAACUUCAGGUUGAAACUGUUUGAAGCAUUAUAAACAUUCAUUUCACAACUAGAUUGUAUAAGGAUAUUAGCUGUGAUGAGACUCACUGCAUUAUUUUUUUAGUGAAUUUUAUGAAAUCCCCAUUCCAUUCAACAGGCACAUGUUUAAAAGAGCAUUGUCGUUGGUGUUAAUGGGGGAAUGUGUUCCUUCAUUGUAUUUGGGCCUUUUGUAUUGCACUCUUGAUAUUAAAUUAAAUGUGCCUUGAAAUAGUUGGUUUUUUUUUUUUUAAGUUCAAAGAAUAUUAUGAUGAUUUUGUUGUACUCUAACAUUUUAAUUUGGGGGGGGGGCCUGUGGAGAGCAGAUUCAUUUUGGAAAUACUGUUGCUGUGCUCUUCAAAGUGAAGGAAAAGGCGCUGUGCCUCAUUUUUAAAAGACCUACAUAAAAGACAAGGAGACUUGACACUGGUUACUUUUAUGACACUUUGUCCCAGGGUACUGCAGUAGAAAGUAAUUGCGGGACAGCUUCACAGGGUGCCUGCCAGAAGAUAAUGUGUUGGAACUGUGGGCUGGCCUAAGUAAGACAUUUUGUGAAUUGAAAAAAGGUAUAGUGAUCAUUUCUAGUAAAUUCAUUUAAUCAUUUAGAUAAAUGAGGCAUUAUUUUCUUCAUGCUUCCAUCCAAUCCUGGAGGUGAAUUUUUUCCGUCAGAUCAUUCUAUAAGUCACCAAUUCAAAUUUUCGCUUGGUGAUAAUGGAGUCUAAGAUGAGUGGAAGAUAAAUGUUCCAGCUUGUCCCAACGUUUAAGUGCAGUUUUAACAAGGGUGACUUAAGUUCUCUCUUAAUCAUUCAAAUCAAUUGUAAGUAUCUUAUAUAUGUUUGUGCUUUAGGGAACUGAUUGUGGGGCAGAGGGUGGGUUGAAGAAGUGGUUUGUGUGACUUUUCAGCAAGAAACCUGCUUCUAAAAUUCUCACUAUUUGUGAGGGUUGGAGGGUAAGUAACCGGAUCUGUUUGAAAUUAGCUUAUGUGAUUGCAUUAACGCUUUUGUAUAUAUUUUAUGCCAUUUUAAGUUCACAGUAGAAAUGGCCUAAGUAUCUUUUUAGUAGAAUUUAGUAGAAAAGUAAUUCAUAAAAUGUAUUAUUAACAUGUACUCAAAUUUAGCAGGCAUCUUUCUUUGCCACUUAGAUAACAGUCAUGAGUUCUAUGGGUUUUUUUCUUGUCAUUGUUAAAAUUUUCUCUUUUAAUAAUAAGAUAAUACAUGCUUGUAUAUAAAAUUGAAAUACUAUAGAGAAAGGGGGAGAUGAAAAGUGAGUGUCACUCUCUGAUGUUACCUGGACAUCCUCAUUCUGUUCUCCAGGAGCAGUAACUGCUAUUACUUUUUCUUGGGUAUCAUCAAGAUAAUUUCUAUGCAUAUACAGUCAUUUUAUGUAUAUUAUUUUAAACAAAUGUGAUCAUACCAUAAACACAGAUGAGUUGCACCUUUUUUUUUAGUUGGUCUCUUCGGCAUUUUUCCAUUUUUUAGUGUAUCUAGACUACUACAUUUUUAAUGGUUGCAUAGUGUAUUUCCAUUAUAUUAAGGAAUCAUAAUUUAUUUAAAUCACUUAUAAAUUGAUUUUUUUCUGUAAAAUUGGCUGUAAGCCAGAGUAUAUCAGGUACUAUAAAUACAUCACUAAUUUGAAACAAAUAAUGGCUCAGGCAAUCCCCUGUCUGGAAUAUUUCCAGUAGUGGAAUGGGUUUUGCUUUGGGGUGUGUGCGUGCGCACGUGUGUCUUCGCUUUACUGUUUUUUUGUUUUAAUUUUGAGGAAGAAAGAUUCUCAGAAAUAACCUGUCCAGUUCAGUUAAAAUAUUUCAUUCAUGUGAGAAUGCACACAUUUUAGAGUGUUUAGAGGUAUAUCUUUCAACGUGCUUUCUAUUAUGUUUGUGGGUUAAUUGAUUUUAGGAAUGGGUUUUUUUGUUUGUAAUUUUAAAAAAUUAUUUCAGAAACAAUUACUUGUAAUUAAAUUAUUUUUUCAAAGCUGUGGUUUUGUUAAAAUUUAUUUCAGUAAUCACUAGUUUUAAAUGUGAUACGAUUAUCUUAGCUUAGACAUUUAUUUAUUAAAAGGUAUGACUUUUUAAACGAACCCCUUUUUUGCAUUAGAAUUUGUGACAUUUUUAUAUGGGGUUAAGUCAGGUCACAAAUUAAUGUCUCUUAUAGUUGUCUUUUUCCACUCUUUAAAAUUCAUAUAAUAACAAGGUUAGUUGUAAACACCAAUGAAAUAGAUAUACUUUGCAAGAAGAUAGUUUUGAGCGCAUAGGCAGGAAUUCCAUCGCUUUUGACAAUCUUGCAUAUCUCUCAUUUUCCCACUGUUUAAUUUCUAAGUGGAUGUUCAGUGGAGGCUAACGCCUGAGAGUGCUUAUGGGAAAUGGUGGAAAUCUGGAGCUACAGUAGCAACGAACAAGAACACCAGCUAAUAAUGUUAUGAAAGAAUAAAGCCUUUACCACAUGCUCACUGGUGACCUUUCACCCUUCGGCUCCUCUGAGCAGUAGUAACCCAGGUUUAACUCUUCACAUAUUUUCUGGAAGAAAGCUUAAUUACAAACUUCCUUGAAUUACAUUAGGUUAGAAAACAUGAGGCCAGGCACGGUGGCUCAUACCUGUAAUCCCAACACUUUGGAAGGCUGAGGUAGGCAGAUCACUUGAGCUUAGUUAGGAGUUUGAGACCAGCCUAGGCAACAUGGUGAAACCCCAUCUCUACUAAAACUCCAAAAAUUAGCUGGGGGUGCUGGUGCACACCUAUCGUCCCAGCUACUCUUGAGGCUGAGGUGGGAGGAUCAUCUGAGCCUGGGGACAUCAAGGCUCCAGUGAGCUGAGAUCACGCCACUGCACUCCAGUCUGGGCAACACAGUGAGACCCCCAUCUCAAAAAAAAAAAAUUAUGCUGUAGGUGAAAGAACCGUGCAACACUUCUUCAAAGACUGACAAUUAUUUACAAAAUGCUCUCAUUUUUAAAGUUCUAAGGCAUACUGAAGUAGUGUGUCAGGCAAGUGAAAGCCUCACUAGGAGAAGGAAAGACUAGAAUUUAAAAAACAUUUUAACCAAUAAGGUCAUUCUGAACUUACCCCAAGGACAAGAAUGUCACACUGUCUUUAUCCAAGUCUCAAAGGUAAAUAUCACGAUUAUUAGAUCCCUUUAAAAGUGAUCAUUUUUUUCUUCUUGUCUUCAUAAAUAAUUACAAGAACAAGCAAAUAAUUUCUCCUUUUAUUGCUGAGGCUAAAGAAAAGCAGUAAAAUUUUAUUGGGAAACAUUUGAGCUUUUCAUUACAUAUUUGCAAUUGCUCUGUAUGUGCACAUAGGUUCCACUAGCAUUUGGAACUAAUUUGUGGAAAGUGUGACACUCCUAGAUUGGCAGAUAUUUGCAUGUUUGAAUUGUGGUACGUGACCACUGGUCUUAUUUUUGUGUCAAAAGGAUGAUGUUUUCUGUUAAUAAAGUCUUAAAAAAAAAAAAACUUAAUUGUUGAAUGUGCCUCAAUUAAUAUAAUAGAUAUAUUCUUGAGAGUUAUGGAAGAUGGAUGUACCAUAAACUUCUCUCUUUCCUCCUUUUUUUUGAGACAGGGUCCCUGUUUCCCAGGCUGGAAUGCAGUGGCAUGGUCACAGCAUCAACCACUUGGGCUUAAGCAAUCCUCUCACCUCAGCCUUUCCAGAGGCUGGCACUACAAGCAUGUGUGCCUGGCUAAUUUUUUAAAAAAAAUUUUUGUAGAGUUGGGGUCUCACUAUGUUGCCCAUGCUGGAGGACUUCCUGUUAAGGAAAAUCCUUAUUAAAUUUUUUUUCUAGCAAGAAUAAAUAUACUCUCAUGCAUUUUUAUUUGUAGGUACUGAUUUUCAUAGAGAAGCAUUUGUGAUUGAUGUUGCAUGUACCUUUUCAAGAACUUUUCUGAUAAAGCACUAGAUUCCUUAGUGUAAUAAUAUUGGUAUAGCCAAGGUGUGUGUUAAAACUGGCUCUGUUUCCAUUUCAGAUGAUAAUUUGAGAUGAAAACAGAUGGAUUUCAGAAUUGAUUAUUGAUAUAAUAGAAACAAGGUGUAGCUGUUUGGGCACUUUUUGUUCAGGGUUUAUUUUUGCUGCUGUGUUGGCAAAAUACUGAAAUGCAGAAGAUGGAUGUGUCCCAGAAAAGAAGAUGGUAAUUAUGGGGAAGCAUCUGCUGUGAUAUAGUUAUGUUUGUAUGUGUGACAUCUAUCACUGUAAUAAUUGUAAGCAAAGACAGAGUUUUGUCUUCAUUUUGUGAUGGAUGGCUCUUUCCUUUGUAGCCAAACAGGGAAAAAGUUAAUGGCGAAGUGUCGAAUGCUUAUCCAGGAGAAUCAAGAGCUUGGAAGGCAGCUGUCCCAGGGACGUAUUGCACAACUUGAAGCAGAGUUGGCUUUACAGAAGAAAUAUAGUGAGGAGCUUAAAAGCAGUCAGGAUGAACUGAAUGACUUCAUCAUCCAGCUUGAUGAAGAAGUAGAGGGUAUGCAGAGUACCAUUCUCGUUCUGCAGCAGCAGCUGAAGGAGACACGCCAGCAGUUGGCUCAGUACCAGCAGCAGCAGUCUCAGGCCUCUGCCCCAAGUACCAGCAGGACUACAGCUUCUGAACCUGUAGAACAGUUGGAGGCCACAAGUAAAGACUGCAGUCGUCUGACAAACGGACCAAGUAAUGGUAGCUCCUCCCGCCAGAGGACGUCUGGGUCUGGAUUUCACAGGGAGGGCAACACAACCGAAGAUGACUUUCCUUCUUCUCCAGGGAAUGGUAAUAAGUCCUCCAACAGCUCAGAGGAGAGAACUGGCAGAGGAGGUAGUGGUUACGUAAAUCAACUCAGUGCGGGGUAUGAAAGUGUAGACUCUCCCACGGGCAGUGAAAACUCUCUCACACACCAAUCAAAUGACACAGACUCCAAUCAUGACCCUCAAGAGGAGAAAGCAGUGAGUGGGAAAGGUAACCGAACUGUGGGUUCCCGCCACGUUCAGAAUGGCUUGGACUCAAGUGUAAAUGUACAGGGUUCAGUUUUGUAAUAUUUUUUCAGCAAAUUUUUAUACAGUGUCAUUUAAUUUGGGAGAGGAUACUGUCCAGAAAAUUAAUGCAAACUUUUGUCACAAUUUGCCUUUUUGUGGGUGUACGUUUUGGUUUUUUGUUGUUGUUUUCUCUUUGUUUUUUCUUUUUUUUUUCUUUUUUUUUUUCUUUUUUUUGCUUCAAUACCUCUGCCACUUUGGAAAUUGUAACAGUUAAUUACUUUGAAUGUUGCUAAAAGAACAUUUUGUGUAGGGUCAAGUUAUUUUUAUAUGAGUUAAUGUGAAAUUGUAAAUGGAAAUUUUUCCUUAAAAUAUAACACAAUGACGUCUGUAUAAAUCUAUGUCUGUUUAGAACCUGUGCUGUGUAAGGGCAUUCUUCCUCAUGCUGUUACUGUACUUAUGCACCAUUCAGACUUGUUAGAGUAGAUGUGGGUUUAUGACUGCCAAGUUUGCCCAGUACAGUAGUUUUUUAUCACUAAAAGUUGGACUCAUUGAUGGAGUCCUGUAGUAGUUUCAGUGUUAGAUACAGUUUUUUCCACCAUACAUCUGUGCAUUUUCUCUUUAGGUGACUGAAUGUUUAAGAAAUUUGUGUGCAUAGUUACUCAGUUUUUAUGAACUGUUGUAUCCUGUUAAUGCAUAUUGCUCUGUGACUCCAGUAUAUCUUACCUGUACUGACCAAACCUAAAUAAAGAUUUUUAUUGUAACUCCUUAA